rnacentral:lncRNA from 1 species
GCCGGGUGGUCCUCCUGGGUGCCUCAGGGGCCCGGGGAGCAUGGGUCAGGGCGAGUGGCUGCUCCCUGGCCUCAGGUUAUCUGGGUGCCCGGUGAGUGAGGCAUGGCAGGCGAUACCGGACCCCACCCACCGCGUAUACCUCUGGAAUAGCGAUUGCCAUGAUUGAUGUCAGUAGCCUGGGCUGGGAGCCUGCAGCUUCCCCCAAUGGGUGUUCUUAUUUAUUUUCUUAAUCACAGGUAAUCAGAACUGCGAAGAUGAUUGGGUCACAGCCAGGAGACUGAUUUUGUAUCCAGAAGUUUCUGUUUCACAAUCACUAAACUACUCAUGCUCAAAGAUUAGUGUCAACAAGAAAUAAACAGACUCUGAUACCGAUAUAAAAUGAACGCGCGUUCAAGAUUUCCUUCAACUCAUUGUUAGCGCAGAAACCGGUAAGAUGUGCCAGCCAGGUCAAAGGAGAAGUGACAAAGGCACCUGUGUACGCGGAGUAAAGGGAUACAGGCUACAACUGAAAACACCAGUCAUAUUACCAAGGCUGUGACCGAAAUCGUGUCUCUGAGAAUGUGCCUCAAGCGUUCCAAGCCUGGCCGGCCGCGCUGGCUCACGCCUAUCAUCCCAGCACUUUGGGAGGCUGAGGUGGGAAGAUCACCUGGUGUCAGGAGU